AAAAAAAAAAAAAUUAAGUCAACAGCCUUUUCUUGUCCCAAAAAAGAUGCUCUACAUCACCAACGGACCUGCUCACAUUCACUAGCCUAAAACCUAUAAUGUUAAGUGAAAAUACUUGAAGCAUUCAUCUCAGAAAUUACAAUAUAAAAAAUAGAGCUUAGAGGCUCAUUCCAAACAGAUGGACAAGCAUUUAGCAAAGCUCCCUUUGCAAAAGAGCGAGCAGCCCUAUCAGCUUAUCCUUCAACCCAAAACAGGACAACCAUUAACCCAAAACAGGACAAACUCGAACCCUCUCUCUCUCUAACAGCUGAUGCCAAAUAACCAGAGAUCGACCUAGAAUCUUCUCAGUCCUCUUAAACGCGAUUAGGAUUGACCUACUAUAUAAAAAAUGGGACUGUCAAAUUAGUAAUGUUUCGAGUGCUAUCAUGCUCAUUACUCUCAGCAAUUUCCUUCAGGCUAGUCCAAGAUUUUCUCUUUCUUUUACUUGAUGCACCAAAAGUUCUUUCACCAGCUUCUGCAGCAUUAUUGCUUUCAGAUUGCUCUGAUGUUUUAGAUCCUGAUCUAGUUCUCUUUCUUCUCUUUGCAUCCAAUAAAGUCGCUCCACUUCUCACUAAUGGAGUUGCUGGGCUGUUUAAAACAGACGGAUCCCCAGAUGGCGAAGGCAAAGCUAUCUCAUCCUUGCUUUUUGUCACUUUCUCCAAGCUGGCAGACUUCUGAGCCAUGGACUUGAAAGGUUCUGAUUUGGCAGGUGGCUUUGGCUUAGGUGGGCAUAUUUCUUUCAUAUGGCCUUUUGGAGUUCCUCUCUUCAGAUUCUGAUGUGAACAGAAAUGGCACUUGUAAACAACAUUAUUCUGCAUAGGAGUAUUAGAUUUCUUUUGUCUACGCCUUGCCUUUUUUUGAGUCCUUUCGAUUCGCACUGUGCAGUUAAAACCAGGCUGAAGAAUUGUCUCACAUCUCUGGCACAGAAUUAUAGAAGGGUCAGGCGAAACUCCCAAGAUCUCUCGAGCUACGGCGAAUUGGCGGCCGAAAAAGGCACCGAGAGAAGGAAUUGAAGCUUCUCCGCUUGCCCAUACAGCUAGCUUUUGCAGGUGCUCGAGUUUCAAGAAAGACUUGGGAUUACGAGAGGCGCCUUUGUUUUGUAUUUUACCGGUUCUUUCUUCUCUCAACGAUACUGAACUGUGAGACAGAGUUGGCGUGAUUGGUUGCUUUUUGGCACCACCUUUCUUGCCCAUGUUCUUAAGAUGCGCUGGGAAUUUAGACGAACGGUUGGUGGGUGAGGAUGGAGAGGACGAGAACAGGAGAGAUCACGGCGUUUAACGAGGACAAAACACACGUUUUUCGG
rnacentral:misc_RNA from 1 species